rfam:Oryza sativa (indica cultivar-group) chromosome 1, whole genome shotgun sequence.
AAAAAUACAAACCCUGGGUUUCCAUGUUCAACAUUUGACCGUCCGUUUUAUUUAAAAAAAUUAUAAAAAUAAAUUAAAAAGAUAAGUCACGCAUAAAAUAUUAAUCAUGUUUUAUCAUCUAACAACAAUAAAAAUACUAAUUAUAAAAAAAUUUCAUAUAAGACGAACAGUCAAACAUUGAGCACGAAAACCUAGGGUUUGUCUUUUU